rnacentral:snoRNA from 1 species
GAUUUUGAAGAUGGUAUCUAAAUAUAUCUGUUAGUAUUUAUUAGGCUGUUGGCAGAGGGAUUUUUCUGUUGCAGAAGAAAAAUCUGGAGUCCUGAACAGAAAGGAC